rnacentral:lncRNA from 1 species
UUAUUUUUAUCUAGGACGCCUUCCUACGCAUCCCAGAAAAAAUUAUAAAAUAUCCUAGCCAGACGUCAUAAUAUUAUUUGAACUAUUGAUGUGCUAAUUUAUAUAUUGAGAAAAGAGAAAUGAUGGACAAAAAGUAUAAAAAAAAUAGAGACAAAUGAGUGUAAAGAAUAAAUGAUAAAGUAAUGGAAAACACCCCAUCCAGACCCUUGUUUAUCUGAACAACAGAACUAUUAUUUUUGCUGAAUAGUGCAUAUAGGCAUUUCCCAUUUGAAUGGUUUUACAGUAGUAAUUUUAGGGCCCUUUUUAGCUUGUUGUUCAGUGUGAGCCAAGGCUCCGUGUUGAAGGCAGUACAUUGACCUAUAAUGGUUUACUUUUAUAAUUUGUUAUUUGGAUGGAGAGUUGUCUCAUUGGCACUAACACCACAUCUUCCUAUAUCUAUGUAAAAUAUCUUUUAAAGAUUUCAGGUAUAUGAAAUAUUAACCAGUAGGACAGUAUAAAUUCUGUCCCUCCUUCCAUGCAAA